rnacentral:tRNA from 1 species
GCCUUCGUGGUGAAGUGGUCAGCGCGCUGGGUGCGUAUUCCAGAUGUCCGUGGUUCGAGUCCCGACGAAGGUG